CCCCGCCCGCCGCGCGGCGGUUGGACGUGGCGGCGCAGCCGCGCUCCGGGCCGGCGGAGCCAUGGCGGCGCUGCUAUUUCGUUUCAAACAAUGGCAAAUGAACCCACCCUCACCAGCAGAGAAGCUUGGAGUGUUCUUUUCCCUGUUUCUUCCUCAUGCAUAUUGAAACCUCCGUCUCUUGGUGAAUCAGCAGAUGCAGAUGUGAGCAGAACGUUUCCUGGACUGAGGAAACCACCAGGUGUGCAUCAAAUGGAGGAGUCGAUGCUGUUCAGACAAGCGUUGCUGGUAUCUGAAUAUGUGUAACUGCCCCCAUGCAGCUCUCGCAGUGCCAGGGCAGGGAGAGGCCUCUGGAGACACCAACAAGUAUUGACAUGGUCAACACGGAGUAAACUGAAAUAUUUGAGUACCUUUCUGGCGAUGUCUCGUAGCUUUCUGAAGAAGUCAUCUGAAGCAUGAUUGUCCCCACCCUCUGACUGUAUCGGUUCUACAAUGAUUCCAGCCACAAUCUUCUUCUUUUUCCUAUACUUCACAAUCAGAUCUUCCACCUGUAAAUCAAACAUUGAUGGUACAUUCUCUUUUCAGGACAUUUGCAAAUUUCCUCCCAGAAAGAUUAAAUCUCAACAAGAGGACUUCAACUUUUCACAGACAUUCCUGGCUAUAAAGGUGUUAAGAAGCGUAAGGAAUUAACAAAUAGUUCCUCUAGGAUUUAACACUGCCCUCUUGUUCCUGAAUAAUGCUGAAGUUUAAAUCAUAUCCUAAACACACUGUACACAAUGGUGUAAAAGCUGUAGCAAAUUUCAGUUGAAAGCACUGUCGCUUGCUAUGCCACUGCUGUCACUCCACCUAACAAAUAUAGAUUUCAUUUAAUGCUCAUGCAUUAUAGGAGGUAAUUUGGUAAGUUUACUUUUUCUAAUCACCCACUUCAGAUACUUUAAAAUAAAUCAGAUUAAAUAGUGCAGAAAUCCUGCUGCUGACAAGGAGCUUACAGAGAAGUUUCAAUUAACCUUGUAGUGCCAGUUGCUGCAAUUAGUCGUGUCAUUUGGUCUUGAAAUAUCUCUUGCAGCUUUCAGAGCUUUGUGCCACAUGGCUACUGCAGAAAAACAAAGAGCUAAACUAUUUUUACAGGUUCUCUUUGCAGAGGAUUAAACACGCUGUGCUCCUCUCAGUCCAUGUCCCUUUGCAAGAUCUGUCAGACAAGCUCACUGUGAUAUAACCAGUUUCCGUAUAUGAAAUCUCACUCUGGUGUGAUUCUGUAAUUCACAGCAACCGGCUGUUUUGGAGGGCAGGGACAAACUUCUGACCGUAAACAACCAUGAAUGCUGUUUUCAUCACACGCUGUUCCAAUCCCCGAAAACAUUCUUCUAGUGAAAAGUGGCUAAUCCUACCAACACUAUUCAUUAUUUCAAAUCAAAAACAACAGAAAGCUGCCAAUGAAUUUUUUACCUCCUCUAAACAACGGGCUUCUUCCUGUUGAUUCUCUUUCACAAAGUCUUCCAGAGGAUACUUCAGCCUUGGAAAUGGAGCAAUAGGCCAGUCCAGCGAGGGAAUGUCCAGUUUGUGAAUUGCUUUAGAGUGGGUUGUAGCUAAGCAACCUAAACCCAGAAAACCAAACAUUAGAAUAAUACCUGACACAAGGAACAAUACAGGAAAAAAGCUACCAAGAGGUGAAAAAUCGCCUGACACCAGGACUGUAGAAUUCUCUUAAUUGCUCUACAUUUUUACUUUAUUUUCUGAAAUACUGGGUAAUUGGAUUUAGCCAAGCUCAAGUGGAUCGCUCUAGCUUUUAAGCUUGAGUUUCCACACAGACUGUUCCAGAAGAACAGGAGAACCUCUGUAAUCUCAACAUGUUGCUCAGACAAGGUGGGUUUCACCUGUCCUAAGACAACUGGUUGCAAAGCUCAGAAUUACAGCACUCUCGGGUAACAUGUUUAGAACAGGGACUGAGCUGAUGUAGAAUUGUUAAAAUGAUUGACAUCUCAUUUGUAUUUUGUGGUAAUUUCACCGCAGGAGUUAGGCUUUUUCUAGUAUAGGCAGGAAACCUUGCAUUCUGAAUGAAAAUAAGGAACCUUCUGAAAAGAAAUAUUCAAAACAUAUAAAAUUAAUUCCCACUGUCACUCAAAUACUCUGUUUCAGUACUGGUGGGGCUUCCAAGGCAAACCUUCAAUAAACCUACAGCUUCUGCACUGGUCUAAGGAAAAAAGCACUUUUUGGAAGGUACAGCGCGAUGACAGCUCAGCGCACGGCGGAGGGAAGGACGGGGGAGCUGCUGCGGUGCUUCGCUUACCAAAGGUCCGUCCGUGGAAGCUGCCCAUGAAGGAGAGCAUGGCGUAGUCGGGGCAGCCGGGGGGCUGGAAGCAGAGCAGACGGGGGUCAGUGGGGCCCAGCCCUGCUGCCCCCCAGCCCAGACAGACCCACGGCUGGACCAAGCGGCUGCCCCUCACAGCACGCCGAUCCGAUCCCUCUUCAACCAUCAGGCACCGCAAAUGGCUAUAUUGACCCAUUUAAAACAAAUACAUUUGUCGUCCCCUAAAAACUGCCUGAUCUCCCAAAAUGCAUCACUAAUACUAACAAAUACCUGGCAAUUUAUACUGUACUGUAAAAGGGAACAAAAAAUGCUUCUGUAAAUACAAUAGCAACAAAAGGAGGGCUAAGGACAAUAGCAACAAAAGGAGGGCUAAGGAGAAUCUCCACCCUCUGCUGGAUGCAACCCCAUGCAACGCUACCAAUCUUCCCUCAUAAACCUAAGGCAGUGGUACAUCUGCAGGUGUGGUAAAGAACAAUUGUUACCUGGUUAAUCAUGCAAGAUUCCAGUUCCUCUUUAGUGACAUUAUUAUGGCCCCUUUCCUUCUUCUGAAAACAGAAAACACCAAAAAUAAACUAAAAAAAUCAACAGAUAGUUUUCCUCUAGUUGUAACCAAUGCAUUUAUGGUCAAACCACAAAUGAGUAAUGCUGCUAUUCCAAACUAGAGCGAACAAAGACACUGACUGUGGCUCUUGGAUAUUGAUUGCAAUCUGCAUUUUCUUUAUUUCCUUUUCUUCAUAAUUUCUAAAGUUGUGUCAGUAAAUAGUGAAAGCUUAGAUGAAGACUUUUUAAUAACGAUUUUAUACUAAGUUGAAUAUAAAUAACAUAAUGAACAAGACAACCUCCAAGCCUUACUUUUCUUUACAGUAACUGUUCUGAUGAUGAAUAAAUGUUUGCUUCUACAUCUAAACCUACAAAAAAAACCCUACUUAAUGUUUUACUCACUCUGUACCACAUAAAUAUUGCUUUAAAGGCAUUUUCAUUAGAGCAGGAUCCACAAGCCAUGGUCAUCACCUGUGGCAGGCCCUUAGGAGCCACCUGUCAAUGAAGAGAGAAAAUUACUCCUAAAUAUUAAGCAGAAAUGUAGUGCAAAGUGAUAAUACUGCUCCUCAGUCCUUAACAUCAGGAGCUUCAGUUAGUGGGAGACCAACCGUGCCUGUGAUGGGGAAAGCAUCAGUUUCAGUCCCAAGGAUCUUCAAAUUGAAAUCAAGACAAACAGAAACCACUUAUUCCCCUUCUCUCUUAUGAGCGCAGGGUGAACAGAAGUUAGAGAAAAUGUGUUUUCUCAUUAGUUCUUGAAUCCAGAAUGCAAGAGGCAGUGUCUGCAGAGCAGACGUGUCACCUGCUGACAUCCAGCUGUCAAGUCAGGAACAAAGGUUCCACCUCAUCACUCGCAGUGAGAAGGCAGGUGGACAAACAGCCGACCUGUCACGUUCCCUAUUAAAAUCCACAAGAUCCCUGGAUAUGCCCGUGUCCAUCAACACACAACAUGGCAACUCAUCACAACUAUCUCAGACUUACUGAUAACAAAGAUUCCUUCAGUCUGUCUGCAAAGUUCUCUGGAGGUAAAAUCCCUAGGGCAGGUCUGUUGACAAAAGUGCUCUACAAAGACAAAGGAAGAGAAAUUAUUACGUUUUACUGUCACGUUAAAAAUAUCAUGUUGAUAUCAAGGUCGUUACAUUUCAUUCUAGUUACAAAUACCAGCCAGAAAUUUGUAGUCAUUGCAAAAGGAGUUUUAAAACCAUGGAUAACAUUCAUGUCUUGGAAUAUGAUUCUCUGUUUAAUCCUUGCGGGACACCUUAGAAAAGGUGCAGGCUAACUGAUAGCAACAUUUCCUCUUCAAUACUGACAUUUUAGUUGCUCAAUCUCAAUUUUCCUUAUGCAUAGGAAAUGCACUUUAAAAUCCUAAUUACUUGCCUUCAAUUUGAGCAGCUAAAUCUAAAUUCAAUUAGGAUAGUGGCACUUUCUUCCUUACUGAGCUUCAAGACAGACCAUUUUGGAAUGCUGUGGUUCUAAACAUCCUCCAGUUACUACUGCGAUGGGAUGUGGGGGAACAAGGCAAAGGUACGCCUGAAGGACAGGGGUGACAUCUGAGAAAGAUAACACACAUGGAAGGAUCAGCAACACAACACGACAAUAAAACAGAUUCCUGACAACACGUGUGCACACGGGCAUCUGUCUGUUCUGGAAUCUUCUGGUACGGACAGCACCGGGCAGCGUGGGGAGGAGAUCGGCUGCAGCUGCCCGGCUUGUUAUCACCCCACGGCUCAGCAACACCUGUUUCAUCAACUCAGAACCAUGGCCUGUGAUACAUCCAGACACGCUGCUGAAACUCCUUUUCAAACAUGUACUGUUUUCAUGAAGUUUGCUGAUUUGCAGGUAAAUAUUUCCUAUUCCAGCGCCUUCACUUUGCACAGUCACCCUUCUCAGUGCCUCAGCUUUGAUUACAGGUACAUUCUUGAUUGUGCAUCACAACAGCAGGUUUCUGGCUUCCCAGAUCUCUCUAUUUCCUGGUUGAGGUCUGACAUGGACCAGGAACCACCAUGCUGAAAUAGUCUCCGUGGAAGCAAUGUCAUCUCUCCUAACACAAGAGGUACUGAUUUGGGCAUAAAGAAAAGCUUUUUCACUGAGGGAACAGUGAAGCAGUGAACAGGUUGCGCAAAGAGGUUGUGCAGACUCUCUCCUUGGAGGUUUUCAAGACUCCAGAUAAAGCCCAGAUCUCACAGCCGACCCUUCUGGAACAGGAGACCACCCGAGGUCCCUUCCAACGUCAACUGUCCUACUGGUCCCACCAACCUGCCCCACUGGGGUUCACCUCUGUGAGAGGCAAUCCCAGUGUCAGUGAGGAGCAGCCGAGCCCACUGCGCACACGGCUGCUUCUGAAGAAAAACAAACCUCUAGAAAAAACACCUCUCGGUCUCCCCAGUCCCCUAAUGGAGAUGAAUUUGUCAUGUUUGUGCAAUUACUUUAAAUUAAGCGUCACAGAUUAAAACGGAUUUUCCAUUGCUCUCA